CCCCUUUCUUGUCUUUUUACAGUGUAACCAUAUAGCCAGCUGGGGACUUAGGAAAUACGACAAUAAAAUGAGGAAAUGGGUUUGAUAAUCCUUUCAGAAUGUCUCCCUUGCCACGGUGAAACACCUUGGAAAAGCCAAUAUGAAGCACCAUGUUCCAGUUUCUUCAUGGACAGCUUGUCUCAUCCUCAUCUAUCCCAAUCCCAAAUUGGAUCCCAAAAUACCUUUUGCAUCCCAAAAGGUAUUUUAACAGUUCUGAACUGAUUCAAUUUAAAAUAAUAAGUGGUAGGAUGGUCAAUUGAGUUUGAAAACUCCGAUUUAUUGUAUUUCCUGCUUGGAGAAAAAAAGCACAAAUUGGUGCCAAAAAAGCUCAGCCACAAAUAAAUGUUUAACCUUGCUUUUUCA
rnacentral:lncRNA from 1 species